rnacentral:rRNA from 1 species
UGCAGUCGAACGACAUAGUGGCAGACGGGUGAGUAACGCGUGGGAACGUACCUUUCACUACGGAAUAGCUCUUGGAAACGAGUGGUAAUACCGUAUACGCCCUCCGGGGGAAAGAUUUAUCGGUGAAAGAUCGGCCCGCGUUAGAUUAGCUAGUUGGUAGGGUAACGGCCUACCAAGGCGACGAUCUAUAGCUGGUCUGAGAGGAUGAUCAGCCACACUGGGACUGAGACACGGCCCAGACUCCUACGGGAGGCAGCAGUGGGGAAUCUUGCACAAUGGGCGAAAGCCUGAUGCAGCCAUGCCGCGUGAAUGAUGAAGGCCUUAGGGUUGUAAAAUUCUUUCGCCAGGGAUGAUAAUGACAGUACCUGGUAAAGAAGCCCGGCUAACUUCGUGCCAGCAGCCGCGGUAAUACGAAGGGGGCUAGCGUUGUUCGGAAUUACUGGGCGUAAAGCGCACGUAGGCGGACUUUUAAGUCAGAUGUGAAAUCCCGGGGCUCAACCUCGGAACUGCAUUUGAAACUGGAAGUCUAGAGACCAGGAGAGGUUAGCGGAAUACCGAGUGUAGAGGUGAAAUUCGUAAAUAUUCGGUGGAACACCAGUGGCGA